rnacentral:lncRNA from 1 species
CCCAUUCCAGCACUUGGAAACAUGGCAACAUGAACAACUUCAUCAGACAUUGCUAAUUGCUUAUGGAGUUAUGGUUUUGACAAAUGGCUUCCUAGUUUGAUGUUGGAACUGAGAGAGGUAGAGAUAAGUUUCUGAUGGCAAAAUGUUAGAUUUGAUAAUUUUACAAUAACUUCACUGUUUUCAUGGAUGAGAACUAGGAAAGAAAAGUAAGAAGAGACACUCUAAUUUUUUUUUAAAAAGCCAAAUAAAAUAAAUAUAUUAAAAAGAGAGAGACAUUAUUUUAAAAACACAUUUAAUUUCUUGAAUGGUGAACAAAGUACUUCUAAACUCUUAAGAGUUAAAUGAGUAAAUAGUCCCUCUAAAUAUACCAACAUUUGAUUUUAGUCCCUCUAAAAAUUCUUAGGUUGUUGGUCUCUCUAAAAUUUUUCAAUCAUGAAAUUAGUCCAUAUUCUUUAGUCAAAUCAUGUCUAACCUUCAUAAUUUUUAAUGAAAUUUUGCAGAAGGGAGCUCCUAAUAUGGUCAUCAAUUUUAAAGUUUCACCUAUGGUCCUCUCUAAUUGACCUUCUACAUCAAGUUUCUACUUUUUUUUUUUUUUGUUCCAUGGCCCCAUACAAGGUAAUUACAUUUAUGCACUUCUGUAUAAUCU